GAUGAACGCUGGCGGCGUGCCUAAUACAUGCAAGUAGAACGCUGAAGGAAGGAGCUUGCUCUUUCCGGAUGAGUUGCGAACGGGUGAGUAACGCGUAGGUAACCUGCCUGGUAGCGGGGGAUAACUAUUGGAAACGAUAGCUAAUACCGCAUAACAGUAGAUGUUGCAUGAUAUCUACUUAAAAGGUGCAAUUGCACCACUACCAGAUGGACCUGCGUUGUAUUAGCUAGUUGGUGAGGUAACGGCUCACCAAGGCGACGAUACAUAGCCGACCUGAGAGGGGGAGAGCACACACGGGAAGUGGGACACGGUCGAGACACUUACGGGAGGGCGAAGUGGGGAAGAUGGCGCAGGGGGUGAAGGCGGAACGGAGUAAGGGGGGGGGAGUGAGGAAGGGGUGGGGCUCGUAAAACGGUGUUAUUAGGGAAGAAAAAAAGUGGAAGUAACAGUGCACGUCUUGACGGUAGCUAAUCAGAAAGAGACGGCUAACUACGUG
rnacentral:rRNA from 1 species